GUGCCCUCUUAAGGCUGAUGGUGCUUUCAGAGGUUAACACAGAAAGGUAAAGUAGUCUCCAAAAAACCCAGAGAGGAGAUUGUACAAACUCCUCCUUGGAUCCUGUCUGAAGCCACAGCU
ensembl:snoRNA